GUCGAACGAUGAACCUCCUUCGGGAGGGGAUUAGUGGCGAACGGGUGAGUAACACGUGGGCAAUCUGCCCUUCACUCUGGGACAAGCCCUGGAAACGGGGUCUAAUACCGGAUAUGACACGGGGUCGCAUGAUCUCCGUGUGGAAAGCUCCGGCGGUGAAGGAUGAGCCCGCGGCCUAUCAGCUUGUUGGUGAGGUAGUGGCUCACCAAGGCGACGACGGGUAGCCGGCCUGAGAGGGCGACCGGCCACACUGGGACUGAGACACGGCCCAGACUCCUACGGGAGGCAGCAGUGGGGAAUAUUGCACAAUGGGCGAAAGCCUGAUGCAGCGACGCCGCGUGAGGGAUGACGGCCUUCGGGUUGUAAACCUCUUUCAGCAGGGAAGAAGCGAGAGUGACGGUACCUGCAGAAGAAGCGCCGGCUAACUACGUGCCAGCAGCCGCGGUAAUACGUAGGGCGCGAGCGUUGUCCGGAAUUAUUGGGCGUAAAGAGCUCGUAGGCGGCUUGUCACGUCGGAUGUGAAAGCCCGGGGCUUAACCCCGGGUCUGCAUUCGAUACGGGCAGGCUAGAGUUCGGUAGGGGAGAUCGGAAUUCCUGGUGUAGCGGUGAAAUGCGCAGAUAUCAGGAGGAACACCGGUGGCGAAGGCGGAUCUCUGGGCCGAUACUGACGCUGAGGAGCGAAAGCGUGGGGGAGCGAACAGGAUUAGAUACCCUGGUAGUCCACGCCGUAAACGUUGGGAACUAGGUG
rnacentral:rRNA from 1 species